AUUGAACGCUGGUGGCAGGCCUAACACAUGCAAGUCGAGCGAGCGGCGGACGGGUUAGUAAUUUCUGGGAAACUGCCUGAUGGAGGUGGAUAACUACUGGAAACGGUAGCUAAUACUGAAUACCAUCAGAUGCGCCCAGAUGGGAAUAGAGAGUAGGUGGGGCAACGGCUAACAUUGGCGACGAUGCCUAGCUGGUCUGAGAGGCUGACUAUCCACACUGGAAAUUAGACUCGGACCAGACUCCUACGCGAGGCGGCAGUGGGGAAUAUUGCACAAGGGGCGCAAGCCUGAUGCAGCCAAGCCUCGUGUAUGAAGAAGGCCUUCGUGGUGUAAAGUACUUUCAGCGGGGAGGCGUUACCCGCAGAAGAGGCACCGGCUAACUCCGUGCCAGCAGCCGCGGUAAUAC
rnacentral:rRNA from 1 species